rnacentral:ncRNA from 1 species
AAAAAGUUUUAUACUUUCUUAUAUGAUUUAUUUUAUUUUAAUUUUAUAUGUAAAGUAUUAAAAUUUAUCUUUCUUGAUGAAAGGUUAUGGUUUGUAGUGCAGUAUUAAGUAUUAAAAAUUGUGGAAAUUUUGAAUUAGUUAAUUUUAUUAAGUAUUGAUUAAUUAUGUGCCAGCUGUCGCGGUUAUACAUAUAAUAUAAAUAAAUAUUUUUGGUUAGUUAGUUGAAUUAAUAUCUAUUAAUAAUUAUUUUGAUGAUUUUUAGGUGGAAUUAAAAAUCUUUAUUUAGGAUUAAGUUUAAUUAGUUGAAGCUAUGAAAUUUAUUGAUUAAACUAGGAUUAGAUACCCUAUUAUUGUAAAUAUAAAUUUUUAAACUUAGGUAGUAAUAGUUAUGAUCUUGAAACUUAAAGAAUUUGGCGGUAUUUUAGUCUGUUUAGAGGAAUCUGUCCCAUAAUCGAUAGUCCGCGUUGAAUCUUACUUAAUUUAUAAAGUAUGUAUACCGCCGUUUAUUGAAUAUUUUUUUAGGAUAAUAUUUUCUUAAAAUGUAUAAUAUAAUGAUUUUACUUCAGGUCAAGGUGCAGCUUAUAAUUAAGGGGAGAUGGAUUAAAAUUUUUUUAAGGUAAAUGGAUUAUUAUUUUGUAAUGAAUUAUUUGAAGGUGGAUUUAAUAGUAAUUUUUUGUAGAUUGUAAAUAUGAUUUAGGCUCUAAAAUAUGUACACAUCGCCCGUCACUCUCGUUAAAAUUUUAAAGUGAGAUAAGUCGUAACAAAGUAGGUGUACCGGAAGGUGUAGCUAGAAUGAU